GACUAACGCUGGCGGCGUGCCUAACACAUGCAAGUCGAACGAGGUAGCAAUACCUAGUGGCAGACGGGUGAGUAACGCGUAGAUAAUGUGCCCUCUUGCGGGGGAUACCGUUUCGAAGGAACGUUAAUACCGCAUAACACGAAGCUGAGGCAUCUCAGAAUCGUCAAACUUCCGGGGCGGGAGGAGCAGUCUGCGUUCUAUCAGCUAGUUGGUGGGGUAAGUGGCCUACCAAGGCGACGACGGAUAACUGGUCUGAGAGGAUGAUCAGUCACACUGGAACUGAGACACGGUCCAGACUCCUACGGGAGGCAGCAGUGAGGAAUAUUGCGCAAUGGGCGAAAGCCUGACGCAGCGACGCCGCGUGGAGGAUGAAGGCCU
rnacentral:rRNA from 1 species